GUUCCUUAGGGGACAUCCGAUAAAAGUGGAACGAUACAAAGAAAAAUAAUAUGGACCCUGCGCAAGUAUUACACGCACUAAUCGAAAAAUGGUCCAUUUUUUU